UCGGUUUGAAGACUCAAACAUUCCCUAGUUCUCUAACACAUAUAACUAUUUAUUUAUUUUCACUAAUAAUUUAAAUUUGAAAAACCUAAACAAGAAGUCCACAAUGCAUAUUUCAAAUUUCUUAAACUAAAAUAAGUCCAAACCGAAGCGACAUCUUCAUCCGUGUUUGCCGUCCAACAUCAACGUCACAGACUCGCAAAGAAAAAUUGGGAACAAAGAACAAUUGUGAAAAUUUGGGUUAGGAAAUUAGAGAUUUAGUAUAUAUAUUUAGGUAAAUUUGUAAAUAUAAAAAAUUUGGGUAUAUACAUAUAUGUACAUAUACUUGAAUGGAGCCCUAGGACAUGGAAUUCUGUAUAAGAAUCAUGGUCACACUAAGAUUGAGUGUUUCACUGAUGCUGAUUGGGCAAGAUCCAAAGAGGAUCGUAGAUCAACAAUCGGAUAUUGUGUUUUCUUUAGAGGUAAUCUGAUUUCGUGGAAGAGUAAAAAGCAAAAUGUGGUUUCUUGUUCGAGUGCAAAGUCUAAAUAUAGAGCGUAGCACAAUCAACGUGUGAAGUGAUGUGGAUAAACAACCUCUUGAAUGAGUCUAGUUUCAAAGCUCCGAUUCCUUCAAAACUACGGUGUGAUCAUCAAGUUGCUCUUCAUAUUGCAUCAAACCCGGUGUUUCAUGAACGAACCAAGCACAUAGAGAUCGACUACCACUUCACUCGUGAAAAGAUACAAGGGUUAAUCUCCACCGGAUUUGUGAAGACCGAAGAACAACUCGGGGACCUAUUCACAAAGGCCCUAACUAGGACCUGAGUUAGUUAUUUGUGUAACGAGUUGGGCAUGAUUAAUAUCUAUGCUCCAACUUAAGGGGGGUGUUAUGGAAUAUACAAUAACCAUCAGUAGUAUU